rnacentral:lncRNA from 1 species
CAGAUGGAAUAAUGACAGGAGUGAAAUCUGAGAGCUGCUGUGUGAGGGACACUUAAUGGAGGCUUUGCUCUAUGGAAUGAGCUGAGCUGGGGUACAUGGAGCACUUAGUGGAUAUUGGUUCAACUAAGAAUCCUGGUGAUGCAUGCCACCCUUGGCAGGCUUCCAGUUCUCAGUGGCUCAGAUCUAUUCUUCUUGAGAAGACCAAGGCCUGACUCUUCUGUGCCACAGUGUCCUCAUCUGUCUCCUGGCCUGGGGUGCCCUCUCCAGGUAGUGGUAUGAGAUAGGACAGAUAAGGGCAGCAAAAACUCGAGGAAGGUUCAGCCCACUGGGAGUAGUGAAACCUAGAUGCUUCAUUCAGUCCAGCCAUUAUAGAACCAGAUGGAUCCUCUCAAAAGAGCUAAAUGCCUCCAGCACAGGAAUCUGGAAGCCUUCCUCAGACUCUUCUGAAAGAAUCACGAGAGUGUCUUUAUUGAUGGAGAAGGGGCCACAGAUGCUGUGUUUAAGACACAUUUCUAACCGUCUUCUCGCAGAUUAGAACUGACUCAGAAGUACGGCAGGAAGCCCCCCUCCCUGGCAGGCUCAGACUGACUCAAUGGUUUUUACCAAGGCAGGCAUUUGUGAUCUUACAGAUGGGGAAUAGAGAGGGCUCAUCUGUCUUCUCCUCCAGUGGAAACAUUCACCAAGACACCCAUCCAAGGCGCAGCAUCUGGGGUUUUUCUACUAACUAUUGAUAAAGGAGCUGGCCCCUCUGGACUCAGGUUUAGUCCAGGACUGUCACAUUUCACUGGAUAUGAUAGUUUGCAAAGUAAAUUCAGCUAACCCCUCCUCCAUCCCCUCUGCAAGCUGUGCCUUCUCCCAAGCUCAUCACCUUCCCCAGGGCCAUCAUUCUCAUCCAUUGAGCUGCAAACUUUAGUGGAUGAAAGUGAAGUCGAGGAGCCGCCAUGCUGAGAGAUCUGGAAAGGAACAGAAGCAGAAGAAGAAAAAAAAAAACCUGGGUCAGAAUGAGGGAGCCUCAACACACCAUACCCAGCCCGGAAUCUCAGGAGCUAGUGUUGCCCCAUCCCAGGGAGAAAUUGGUCUUUAAACUUGGAAAAGGAGGUCUUCAGAAUAUCUAAUGAGUGCCACAAUUCCCACCCUCACGAUUCUAGAAGUUUUGAUAUUACUGUUGUAUACCCCCUAGUGUGAUACAGUCUACAUAAUGUGCCUUGAACUUCCACAUAUCACAAAAAUAUUCCCUCAAUACACCUGGAGGCCUGAACUCAUCUGCUCUUAUGUAGCCUCUGACUGACUAGGAACACAGAAGGCUGGGCCACGGCAGGUUUAUUACAUCACAGGCUGGAGAAAAUAAACUUUAACAUGGUUGCACUGGAAGAGGUGUGUACUUUUCAGAACAGCAAGAUUCUUGGUCUCCUGCAUCGUUCAAAAUGCAAUGGCAAUCCAGACAGAAAAGCACUAAAUAA